UGUGGCUAGAUUACUUGAUUCCUUCUCCGUGGUACCUGUUCACUGGCUUCAACUCCAACAUCUACCUCUCAGAAACAUAAUUUAGUAAACUUUUUCUCUCAGCUGCCAUCUUGUCUCUUAAGGCAGAAAUGCUUUGGUAACUUCAUUCCUUUUUAAAGGAAAGUCUUUGGGAUCAGCCUUGGCUCAUCCUGACUGACCUCAUUCUUUGACGCUAUGGUUUUCAUUUUUGUUUGCUGAGAUAUAUCAUCUUUGCUAAUCUUAGUCUGGAGUUAUCUUUGCGAAAACUUCUGAAAUGAUAAUUUUUGAAGCACUAAAGGAGCUUUACCCACGGCAAUGAAGAUUCUUUGGACAUUUUAUUUUGAAGGGAUCUGGCAAUGGAUACCAACAUGACUGAAGACGUGUUCUUCGGAAUAGUAUCCUAUGGAAUCGCUCUGGUGAACACUUUCUUUUCUGGUGCCUCUUGUGGAACGAUUUUUUUUUUUUUUUUUUUUUGGCCUCAACAACCCUUGUCUGUGAACUAUAUUUCUGCUGAUACUUUUUAUUGUUUUAUUUCAUGUUGGAUAGAUAAACGUAUCUACAAGUGAGCCUUUUUUAGACAAUGCUACCUCUGCAUCCUGUAAUUUUAUUCCUGGAGAUAUUUUUUCAACAGUGGUAACUGAGAAAUUUUUUCCUUUCUAAUGAUACUUUGGAAUCAAUAUCUUCUGACCAUGAGUCUAAAGGACAGCAGACCUAAGACAUCUAUGAAGUGCCAGCCUGACUUCUGAACACAGCUCCCAAAGUUCUGCUUUCUGGGAACCUUACUGGAACUCUCUUCCCUCUGUGACAUUUGGACUUGCCUUUUGUUGAAAGACACUAAGGUAGUUUCUUCUUGACAACUGAAUCUCAAACAUCAAAGCGGAAAGACCCAGAGAGCCUUCCCUUAGCCAUUGUGACAUGCAGUAUGCCUCAGCAGUAAGCCACCCUGAAAAACUGUCAGCCGAGCAUCCAGCUGUCUUCAUACAAAUUACAAAUUUUCAUCCUUCCAGGAAAAUUCACCAUCAUUUCUCUCCUGACGACAUCUUCUUAUAACCACAUUUUCAGUUGAUUUAAGCUAUUCA
rnacentral:lncRNA from 13 species